rnacentral:lncRNA from 1 species
AUCGAAAUGAUUAGAUUAUACAAAAAUUGAUUUCUCCUUCGCAUAUAGAGGUAGAUAUACUAUCAGUAAGAAGCUUGUUUUCAAUUGAUAAGAUAUAAAAACGAUUCUAGCUUAUUACAACAAUUACUCAAAGUAAAAUGACACCGUUAUGAUAAGUUACCACGACACCGUUUUUGAAUUCGAAAUCGCUUAAGUCGGCUGCCUUGUUUUGCUGAUUUUUUUCUCCCAUUGUUUUUUCUUCUCGCUUCCUUUGGUUGAUUUGAUUCUUCUAUUUCCCCAAUUAUUAUCCACAUAACAACCCUUUCUCUCACCUUGAUCCUGUCCCCAAGAUCUAUAGCUAGAAAAUUUCGCUUUAACCCAUUUGGCAUCUUCCCAAGAAGCACUGUUAGGUAAAAGAUAGACCAAUGGAUCAACCAUUGUGCUGCCAUGUUAUUUUUUCUUUUCAUCCACCAGGACUGCAAAAUGGAUAAGGGAUAAUUCUCUGCUUGCUGUGGUUGAU